rnacentral:rRNA from 1 species
GCAAGUCGAGCGAACUGAUUAGAAGCUUGCUUCUAUGACGUUAGCGGCGGACGGGUGAGUAACACGUGGGCAACCUGCCUGUAAGACUGGGAUAACUUCGGGAAACCGAAGCUAAUACCGGAUAGGAUCUUCUCCUUCAUGGGAGAUGAUUGAAAGAUGGUUUCGGCUAUCACUUACAGAUGGGCCCGCGGUGCAUUAGCUAGUUGGUGAGGUAACGGCUCACCAAGGCAACGAUGCAUAGCCGACCUGAGAGGGUGAUCGGCCACACUGGGACUGAGACACGGCCCAGACUCCUACGGGAGGCAGCAGUAGGGAAUCUUCCGCAAUGGACGAAAGUCUGACGGAGNAACGCCGCGUGAGUGAUGAAGGCUUUCGGGU